rnacentral:tRNA from 1 species
GCGCUAAUGGUGUAGUGGUAUCAUGCAAGAUUCCAUUCUUGCGACCGGGUUCGAUUCCCGGUUAGCGCA